CCUACGGGAGGCAGCAGUGGGGGAUAUUGGACAAUGGGGGGAACCCUGAUCCAGCGACGCCGCGUGAGUGAAGAAGUAUUUCGGUAUGUAAAGCUCUGUCAGCAGGGAAGAAAGAAAUGACGGUACCUGACCAAGAAGCCCCGGCUAACUACGUGCCAGCAGCCGCGGUAAUACGUAGGGGGCAAGCGUUAUCCGGAAUUACUGGUUGUAAAGGGAGCGUAGACGGUUAAGUAAGUCUGGAGUGAAGGGCCGGGGCCCAACCCCGGGACUGCUCUGGAAACUGCCUGGCUGGAGUACAGGAGAGGUAAGUGGAAUUCCUAGUGUAGCGGUGAAAUGCGUAGAUAUUAGGAGGAACACCAGUGGCGAAGGCGGCUUACUGGACUGUAACUGACGUUGAGGCUCGAAAGCGUGGGGAGCAAACAGGAUUAGAUACCCGAGUAGUC
rnacentral:rRNA from 1 species